UGAAUACGAGGCACUAAGGUGCUGAAGUAGUGUAUGUCAUACUUCCAAGAAAAGCUUGCACUAUCGUAAGAUAAAAAUGCCUGUACCAUAACCGACACAGGUGGGUAGGUAGAGUAUACUAAGGGGCGCGAGAUAACUCUCUCUAAGGAACUCGGCAAAAUAACUCCGUAACUUCGGGAGAAGGAGUGCCUUAUUCUAUAAGGUUGCAAUAACAAGAUCCAAGCAACUGUUUAUCAAAAACACAGGUCUCCGCUAAGUCGUAAGACGAUGAUGGGGGCUGACGCCUGCCCAGUGCCAGAAGGUUAUAGAAGUCGGUUAGCAAUUGCGAAGCUGGUAACUGAAGCCCUGGUGAACGGCGGCCGUAACAAUAACGGUCCUAAGGUAGCGAAAUUCCUUGUCGGGUAAGUUCCGACCCGCACGAAAGGCGUAAUGAUUUGGAUACUGUCUCGGAGAGGGACUCGGUGAAAUAGACUUGUCUGUGAAGAUGCGGACUACCUGCACCAGGACAGAAAGACCCUAUGAAGCUUUACUGUAACUUGAAAUUGAAAUUGGACUUUAUUCGCGCAGUAUAGGUGGGAGGCGUUGAUUAUAAUCUUGUGGGAUUAUUGGAGCCAUUAGUGAGAUACCACUCUUGUAAUGUUAGAUUUCUAACUUUGAAUCAUGAUCUGGUCAAAGAACAGUUUCAGGCGGGCAGUUUGACUGGGGCGGUCGCCUCCUAAAUGGUAACGGAGGCGUACAAAGGUUUCCUCUGAACGGGUAGAAAUCGUAUCUAGAGUGUAAAGGCAUAAGGAAGCUUGACUGUGAGACCUACAAGUCGAGCAGGGACGAAAGUCGGUCUUAGUGAUCUGACGGUACUGAGUGGAAAGGCCGUCACUCAACGGAUAAAAGUUACUCUAAGGAUAACAGGCUGAUCUCCCCCAAGAGUUCACAUCGACGGGGAGGUUUGGCACCUCGAUGUCGGCUCAUCGCAUCCUGGGGCGGUAGUACGUCCCAAGGGUUGGGCUGUUCGCCCAUGAAAGCGGUACGCGAGCUGGGUUCAGAACGUCGUGAGACAGUUCGGUCCAUAUCCGGUGUAGGCGUUAGAAUAUUGAGAGGAGCCUUCUUUAGUACGAGAGGACCGAGAAGGACAUACCUCUGGUGUACCAGUUAUCGUGCCAACGGUAAACGCUGGGUAGCUAUGUAUGGAGUGGAUAACCGCUGAAAGCAUCUAAGUGGGAAGCCCACCUCAAGAUAAGUAUUCUCAUC
rnacentral:rRNA from 1 species